UGUGCGAUUAAAUAACGUUUUUCUUUUCAAAAGGAAUACCUGGGUAUUUUAUUUAGUAACAACGCUAUGUCUAAAAUCCUACUCGGGUAUUGGGACUUGCGCGGUCUUGGGGAACCAAUUCGUCUGAUGCUGGAACAUGCUGGUGCUGACUAUGUAGAGAAGAAGUACCAGCAUUAUAAGUUGGCCGAUGGCUAUGAUAGAACUGACUGGCACUCAGUUAAAUUUAGCUUAGGGCUUGCUUAUCCCAAUCUUCCCUAUUUAAUUGAUGGAGACGUAAAAGUUACUGAGAGUUGGGCAAUCAUGAAAUAUUUAUCAAGAAAAUUUGAAAAACUUGGUCCUGAAAACGAAGAAGAACGGAUCAAGUGUGACGUCACAGAGGGUGUUGUUCAAGAUUUUCGUCAAGGUUUUACUUCAAUGUGCUACAAUCCAGAUUUUGAGUCUUUAAAAACGAAUUAUCUUCGCGAUUUACCAGGAAAACUGGAAAUGUUCGAAAAGAAUUUGAGCUCUUCGGGUUGGCUGGUGUCGUCGAAACCGAUCUACGUCGAUUUUGCUUUAUGUGAAAUCCUAGACCACUGCUCUGCUACCCAGGUUGCUAUGAUAAGCAUCCCAUAAUACUUGGUUAUUUGGAGAAGUUUGAGUCACUAGAGAAGAUUGCAUCUUACAAAAAGUCAAAUCGUUUUCAGAAGCUUCCGUUGAAUGGGAAAAUGGCGUGGGGUGGCGAAAAAGAAAUCUAACUUGGCGUACAACUGGUUUAAGACAAAUAUACACUUAGAGUUAAAUCAUGAUAAAUUUUCGCGCAGUAGUUUUUUCCAUCGUUAUAAAAUACCCUGUGCUUUUCUGCAUAUUUGUGGUGAUGAACAAAUAAAAGUUAGACGCC